AUGCACCGCUUGAAAAAACUUUUAUGUUAUAAAGUGUUCGAUCCAGAAAUCCAGAUUUUUGACAGCCCACUGACCAGCCGAAAUGACCAAUCCAGAAUCCAGUGUAAUUAGUGAAGUAAAAUUAUUAUUAAUUAAAACUUUUAAGUCCGGAAGCCCAAAUUUUAAACCAGAAUUGAGGCCCUUGGAGUUGGGAUUCUCUAAUUUAAAUUAGAAUCGUCUAAUCCUAAUGCAUAGACCUAAAUUCAUUUGGUUGAGUACAAUUAAUAGUUUCAGAACAAAUGGUGUUGAAGUUUGCUUUUAAAAAUGAGGAAACUCAAACAAAACAGGCAUUUUUUCAAUUGUAAAAAGUAAAUUGCCAACUAUUGUAUUAGGAUUUGACAUCUGGAAUAGAAUAAGAGCAUGGGGGAGUGAUUCCUCCCAAGACGUUAAUAUGGUAAUGAUGAAUUCUGAUAAAGCUGGUUUCAGACGCAAGCCAGAUCCAGCCUCGUCAGCUAAUAUUAUCCAUCCUAUUAAUGAGGGCGCAAUUGCUUUGCAGCAAAAGUCAAUCUCUGAUGAGUCCCCUAAUUUUUUAUUAUACAAAAAGAUGGAAAAAAUCAUUGAACAAAUGCAGGAUGAAAAUACUGGAGUUCCUGUGCGGACAGUAAAAUCAUUCAUGUCAAAAAUACCAUCAGUUUUUACAGGUUCAGACUUAAUUUUAUGGAUGACCAAAAAUUUAGAUUUAGAAGAUCAGCAGGAAGCUUUACAUUUUGCUCAUCUAAUAGCUGCUCACGGAUAUUUUUUCCCAAUAGAAGAUCAUAUGCUGACAGUUCGAAAUGAUGGCACUUUCUAUAGAUUUCAAACACCAUACUUUUGGCCCUCAAACUGUUGGGAACCUGAAAAUACAGAUUAUGCUGUCUACCUUUGCAAACGAACCAUGCAAAAUAAAACCAGAUUAGAGUUAGCCGAUUAUGAAGCUGAAAAUUUGGCCAGAUUGCAAAAAAUGUUUUCAAGAAAAUGGGAAUUUAUUUUUAUGCAAGCAGAAGCUCAGAGUAAAGUCGAUAAAAAACGCGAUAAACUGGAAAGAAAAGUGUUGGAUAGUCAAGAGAGGGCUUUCUGGGAUGUACACAGACCCAUGCCUGGAUGUGUCAACACCACGGAAAUAGAUAUUAAAAAGGCCUGCCAAAUGAAUAAACCGAACAGAGCAAUGAAGAACAAGCAAAAUAAUCCUGCCAAAAUCUUAUUCAGUUUAAGUGGAUCACAACCCAAAAACUCGUCCGAGCAGCUUAAGAAACAAAUUACCGUACUUAAAACUCAACUAGAAAGAAGAAACAUAAAAGUAUCAAAAGCUGCAGAGACAUUUAUCUCUUAUUACGAGCAGUAUUUGGAGUAUGAUCCAUUUUUUGUUCAGCCUGAAUAUUUAAAUCCGUGGAUCUUUGAUAGCACGGAACUAUGGGAACAGGAUAAAAUGUCUAAGGAAGUGUCUGCUAGGCGAGUUAAAAGAUGGGCAUUUAGUCUACAGGAAUUAAUAGCAGAUCCGAUAGGAAGAGAGCAUUUUGAAAAAUUUCUUGAUAAAGAAUUUAGUGGCGAAAAUCUAAAGUUUUGGGAGGCCGUUCAAGAACUUAAAUGUUUACCUCAAAGUCAAGUUCAGCAAAAAGUAUCGGAUAUUUGGGACUACUAUUUGGCUUCGGAUGCAAAAUGCCCUAUAAAUGUUGAUUCACAUUCUUAUGAACUGACCAAAAAAUGUAUGGAGAAUCCUGACCGAUGGUCUUUCGAUAAUGCUGCAGCACAUGUAUAUCAGCUUAUGAAAAGUGAUAGCUACUCAAGAUAUUUGCGUUCAGAGAUGUAUAAAGAUUUUUUAAAUGGAUCCAGAAAAAAGACCUCGGUAAAAGGAAUACGUUCGAUAGUAUCAUUUUCGGCAAGAAAGGAUAAUGCUACAUAGUUUAUUAGAAAUAAAAAUAGACAUUACACUAAAUUUACUUAAGUUUAAAAUGUAUAAGAAGACUAACGACAAUACAACAUUUAGGCGUACCGGAAAUUAAAAAUAUAAUAAUGAAGGAUUAUUCAUGGUCGACGAAAACUAGUCUGGGACAGUAGCCCUUUUUUUAACAAAAGAGCUUUGGUAGAGCACCUAAAUGCCAAACUGUUGUUACUUUGGCGUAUGGAUAAGGGUAGAUGAUUGAACAUUUUCUUUCCAUUGUACACCACUGAUUUUUUUACUUGUUCAGACCGGGGGAUUGAUAUACUUGAUAUACUAUUGAUUGACAAUCUGAUAUAAGCGGCAUGCCGGGUAUUAUAACCUAUAUUCUCCACAUUUUAGUUACCCGAGAGUUCACCAAGAACAGUUUGUUAUGUUUGACUUUAGAUCUCUGUGAUACAGUUUGUUGCUGUUGUAAUGUGUCCGUUCGACACAAUAAAAACGUUAGGAGGAUUAAUAAAAUAUUUUCUAUUUUAAAUUAAUACAAUAUAUUUUAAAGAGGGGAUUUUCAUCAAAAGUCCAAACAGUCAUAUAGCAGAUAAAAUGCUUAUAAAAUUAAGUUUUCAUUCGUUACAGUUAAAAAUUGACAAAAUGUGAAACAUUACAGAUAAAAAUUUCAUUUAAAGUACCCGUCGAAUCAAAAAGACCCUUUUUAAUUAAUUUUUGUACUUAAUCAAGUUAAAAGCUUCUAGGAUUUAAUUAAUAAGUACCUUAAGACUCUUCUAGAUCUCUCAGGACGGCCAAAAUCUAGUACAAGAUUGCUAUAUAUGCACGGCAGUUGUGCACAUCUUUAUGUGAAUUAUAUAAGUCUAGAUUUGGUUACUGUGCAGCAAACACUGCAUAACAUACAUACAGGGAAGAGCGGAAAGGAUUCGUAAGUUCGAAAUCCAUAUUUUAAGAAGUGAACCAUCUGAGUACACAACAAUGAAACUAGGAUUUCAGCUUUAGUUAAAUAUUGUGGUAUAAGUGAUUAUUUAACUGCCUUGUUGAAAGAGGUGUAUCGCGGUUUUCUAACUAUUCAAGCAUCCAUUGUAAUAGAUUAUUUUCUGAGAUUUUGAUAAACCGAAGGCUGAUUAUAUUCAUAGAAAGUUGCGUCAUCAGCAAAUAACUCGCCCUCAUCCUGAGAACAUGUUAGAUCAUUAUAUAAAUGACAAACAGCAUGAGGCUAACUACUGAUUAUUGAAGAACUCGAUAGUUCAAAGUUAUCCCCAAUCUCUGGCUUUCCUGGCCUUUUAAGAUAUUAAGGGUUGUAUUUAAAUUCUCCGCCCAUAAAGAGGGUUAAUAUAAUUUGAUUGAUAGACUUUAUAUGUGAUUGCUCUAUGAAAAGAAAAUUGAAGUUUCGUGGAGGUGGUAUUUUCAUUGCUGUGAAGGAUAUUUCUCAGCUCCUCAUAGAAAUUUUAAUUAUUACAAUAAUGGUGGAUUACUUGAUUUUAUUUACAAAAGAUUAACCUACAUUCGACUGAAUAAACUGAUAUGUAAUUACAUGUACAGGAUGGUUCAGUUGCAACAACGUUAAAUCAUUAAUCGUAUAUCUAAUAAAUUAAUAUUUACACGCUACGAGUCUCUGCGCUAAGUGGAUGAUAACCUUCUUGCUAUCAAAUUAACUUUUUUUAAGUUCCUUUAGUUGCAAUGGCAUCACAUUAAAAUUAAACUUAAGGAGCAAAAAAGACAAUCACUUUUUUUUUGCUUCUGUGCAUUUCAUAUUAUCACUUAAUCUGAAAAAUAUUUCCAGAGAAGAUACUAACUGAUAAUAUAGUUGUAGGUAAAAUAAACUAACAGCUUUAAAUAUAAUAUAAGUAGACAUAAAUUAUGCAUAUAAUACGUAUUGAGGAGUUUUAGAUGGUCAUUGCUUGUAGAUAAUAUCUAUAUGCUACAGUGCUUGUUAUAUUUUCAAAUAAAAACAUAUCACUUAAUUUUUAAAAAUGCGCUGAACCACCCUCAAUAUAAAAUAAACAUGUUUUAAAUAUUAUUUUAGCUGUAAUGUACAAAUAAGAAACUAUCUUGUUAGUUGCUGGAGGAGUUCCGCAUGAAUUAUAUGAUUUAAAAGUUAGUGUAACCCUAGAUAAAAAUAUCAAAAAUACGUCCGAGUAUUUUUUUUCCAGAAAAAAAAAACAAAUUAUAUAUGAAGCUCGACGUUUCGUUUUCAUUUGGUCACCCUGUGUAUCUUUAGAUAACUUAUAUAGCAAGCUAUACUACUCACUGUAGAAAUUAGACCAUACAAAAUAUAUGUCUUUCUGAAAAUAAUUGUAGCAUGUAGGCUAUUUUUUGUAACUAAAGCAGAUAAAAUACAUUUAUUUAACUAAUUUAAUCAAAUGAAUUAUUAUAUAAUUAGCAUAUAGUAGUCAUUGUAUAUUAAUCAGCUUUAACAGAUAGGCUAAUUUUGUGUGUAUUUUUCCCGCUACAAUUAAAAACAGAGCUAGACCAAAGUUACAAUAAA
rnacentral:misc_RNA from 1 species